GAUGAACGCUAGCCACAGGCUUAACACAUGCAAGUCGAGGGGUAACGAGAGGAAAGCUUGCUUUCCUUGUCGACGACCGGCGCACGGGUGAGUAACGCGUAUCCAACCUGCCCCCAACUAGGGAAUAACCUUGCGAAAGUAAGACUAAUACCCUAUAAUUUCCUCAGAUGUCAUCUGACGAGGAAUAAAGAUUUAUCGGUUGUGGAUGGGGAUGCGUGUGAUUAGCUUGUUGGCGGGGUAACGGCCCACCAAGGCAACGAUCAGUAGGGGUUCUGAGAGGAAGGUCCCCACAUUGGAACUGGGACACGGGCCAAACUCCUACGGGAGGCAGCAGUGAGGAAUAUUGGUCAAUGGGCGGAAGCCUGAACCAGCCAAGUAGCGUGCAGGAUGACGGCCCUAUGGGUUGUAAACUGCUUUUAUACAGGAAUAAAGUUAGCCACGUGUGGUUAUUUGUAGGUACUGUAUGAAUAAGGACCGGCUAAUUCCGUGCCAGCCGCCGCCGUAA
rnacentral:rRNA from 1 species